rnacentral:rRNA from 1 species
UCAUAAGAUUUUUUUUUUUCGCAGAGGGAGGUCAGCUCGGGGUGUAGGUGUAGGUCUACUCGGUGCUCCGGCCGCCGCUGCUCUAUCGGGAGGCGACGGCGGUGGGCGGCUGCCGGCGCGGCGACCUGCUGCUCCUGGAGGAGCCCCUCUAGGAGGAGGCGCAGGGGGGCGAAGGGAGGAGCGAGGAGGCGCGGAGGGAGCAGAGGUUCGAUGCGCCUCCGCAGCGGUGGCGGGGGAGGAAGUCGGCGGCGAAGCAGCGGGUGGUGGCCUCCGGGGGGCAGGAGUCAAAGAAGAUCUUCCCGCUGCCCCUCGAGCAGAAGUGUGGGUAGGAGCUGGGGCGACGAAGACACUGCAGCGGAGGUUAUAACGUUUCCGAGAGGCGAGGUUUAAACAAAACUCGUAAAAGAAGUUACACGGUUUUAGUUAACGAACCACUUCAAGGUCAAAUACAAAUGAUAGGUUAUCAUUAAAGAUUCUCCUAUGUAGAGUUCGUCCUACCUUUCUUAAAAAAAAAUUACGUUAUGUUCUAUUAAACAACGAUCUGACCGGACCUUACACUUCAGUUAUACAUAGCCUACUCGUAGGACCGUACACUCUACGUACUUUGUACCAUAAAAAAAUGACCUGUAGUUUGUAUCCUGACUACUCAUAGUUUAUGGUACACACUCUAAGUUCUUAAGUAACCCUUCUUGCUUUUGACCUCUGUUCCUUGUAUGAACUGCCGAGGAAACAAAACCAACCGCGACAUCGAACCUCUAACGAACCGCACAUGAUUCGACCACCGUGAAAAAAGAGACCCGCAAGUUAGAGACUCUCGACCCAUAAAUAUAAUCAUAUCUUGGAAACGGUCAGGCUCAACCACAUACCAAGCGCUAACCAAGGUACAGGCUCAGGUUCAACCACAUACAAAAGGUACAGGCUCAGGUUCAACCACAUACGAAGACUAACAUAAAAAGAGAAGGUGCAGGUUAGGUCAUCCAACACCAUACAAAACUCUAAACAAUAUUUAAAUGGAAAAAGACAGA